UAUAUUCCUAUAUCCGGAGGCACUAUGCA
rnacentral:piRNA from 1 species